UCCCUCCUCCUCCUACCCACUCGAAAAGAGUGAUGGUGAUGGGUCCCCCCCACCCCUCCUCUUGAAAAUUGCGUAUAAUAACUUUUUGUGGCGCGCUAAAGGUCACAAAUAUCGACUCGCCGGGUUUUUUGGUUGUUGUUUGGUUGCCGUUUCUGGCUUUUUUUAUGAGGACUUGCUGAUUAUCUGGCCGUUUUAUGACAACGCGUGGCCUUAGUUAAUAAUAAGUAGUAGGCAGUCAAAUAAAUGAAUAUUUAUUAAUAAAUUAAAUACACGCAUUCUUUAAACCGCCGCCAAUACAAUUCCUCCGUUUUUGUUUUAUCGGAACUGUUGGUUCGAAUUCUCGACAGAUGGCGUUUGAUGUGUGUCUCUAUUUACCACCGCCAGAUGGCUAUCGAGAACAGGCAGCAAAACAUCUGAACGAAAAUUCAAUUCAAUCUGUGAGACGAGAGGAGAGACUGGAUUUUUGUUGAAUUAAUUAACAAAUCACGAUUGUCAAGUCUUUCGUAAUUUCUAGUUCAUAAAGAAAUUGUCAAGUAGGCCAAUGCAACGCUACUGUGGACAGUUUGAUAAAGUUUGCUUGUUAUCUGGUUUGGCGGGUCGUCCCAAUAACCAACCAUGCUGCAAAAACGUGAUAAAAAAAGCAACGACGAAUUCAUUUUGCGGAAUGGAUCUAAGGCUAGUGAAGCUCAUCACCGUAACAUCAGAUAUGAGGAUCUGGGGUGAGGACCUGGGUUGAAAUGAAAGGACACUCAUCAGUUCUCGAAUGUUCAUCGGGUUAGCAGAAAGUGUGUUCUGAAAUAUCAUUGUUGAAGGAUUCUUCAUGGAGUGAACUACCCGGCCAUCAAAUAAGCAUCACAACAAUCUUGGGUUUGAG